rnacentral:rRNA from 1 species
UACGUAGGGGGCAAGCGUUGUCCGGAAUCAUUGGGCGUAAAGAGCGUGUAGGCGGCCCGAUAAGUCCGCUGUGAAAGUCCAGGGCUCAACCCUCGAAUGCCGGUGGAUACUGUCGGGCUUGAGUACGGGAGAGGCGAGUGGAAUUCCUGGUGUAGCGGUGAAAUGCGUAGAUAUCGGGAGGAACAUCAGUGGCGAAGGCGGCUACCUGGCCCAAUACUGACACUCAGGUGCGACAGCGUGGGGAGCAAACAGG